AUGAACGCUGGCGGCGUGCCUCAUACAUGCCAGUCGCGCGAACAGACGAGGAGCUUGCUCCUCUGACGUUAGCGGCGGACGGGUGAGUAACACGUGGAUAACCUACCUAUAAGACUGGGAUAACUUCGGGAAACCGGAGCUAAUACCGGAUAAUAUAUUGAACCGCAUGGUUCAAUAGUGAAAGACGGUUUUGCUGUCACUUAUAGAUGGAUCCGCGCCGCAUUAGCUAGUUGGUAAGGUAACGGCUUACCGAGGCAACGAUGCGUAGCCGACCUGAGAGGGUGAUCGGCCACACUGGAACUGAGACACGGUCCAGACUCCUACGGGAGGCAGCAGUAGGGAAUCUUCCGCAAUGGGCGAAAGCCUGACGGAGCAACGCCGCGUGAGUGAUGAAGGUCUUCGGAUCGUAAAACUCUGUUAUUAGGGAAGAACAAAUGUGUAAGUAACUAUGCACGUCUUGACGGUACCUAAUCAGAAAGCCACGGCUAACUACGUG
rnacentral:rRNA from 1 species